ACGCUCUUGCGAAGAACGCACUGAGAAAUUGGCCUUUCAAUUUUAAGGAUGACAAGCCUCGUCGAAAGUGCUGAAUAACGUCUGCGCAUGUCAUGAUCUCACUUCUGUAACCAUAACAACAGAGAAGACAAAACGAUGUGGCGCCAAUUUUGAAAAUUUAAAAUUUUGAUAUCCUCUUUCCUCUUAUAAAACGACUUGUUGGCAAACUAAAGCUGACUACCCUCCUUAAGGAACACCCACCACUCAUUGAUUUUUCACGUUUUCCGUUUGGUUUUGUCAAUUCAAUACAGCGAAAGCAAGAUAAACAUGAAAAUGUCCACAGUUUUGGUGCUUUGUAUCGUGGCAAUGUGUGUCAUGGAUUUCUUUGUGACAGCUGGCAAAAUUGAGGCUGAGCGAAGACAAUUUGGCAGACUCGCGAGAUUGAAAGGUGAAGGAAUGCCUGCCGAAAGAAGAGGAAGGACAGGUUCAUCGUCGAUUCAUUUGUUCACUUGCAUAGCUUGCAUGUUGACUUA